rnacentral:rRNA from 1 species
UACGUAGGGUGCAAGCGUUGUCCGGAAUUAUUGGGCGUAAAGGGCGCGUAGGCGGUUGGAUAAGUCUUGUGUGAAAUCUUCGGGCUCAACUCGAAGUCUGCACGAGAAACUAUCUGGCUUGAGUGUGGGAGAGGUGAGUGGAAUUCCUGGUGUAGCGGUGAAAUGCGUAGAUAUCAGGAUGAACACCUGUGGCGAAAGCGGCUCACUGGACCACAACUGACGCUGAGGCGCGAAAGCUAGGGGAGCAAACAGG